rnacentral:tRNA from 1 species
GCCGGGGUAGCUCAGCUGGGAGUACGUCUAGUUGAAGACCGGAAGGUCGAGGGUUCAAAUCCCUCCCCCGGCA